GAUGAACGCUGGCGGCGUGCCUAACACAUGCAAGUCGAACGGAUAAGGCCUGCUUGUGUGUGGAUUUCGAGGGGCGCGGGGGUGUGAUACAUGUGAGUCACCCGCCUUUGACUGGGGGAUAACCGCAGGAAGGUGGGGAUAACACAGGAUAGGGGGUCGUGCUGGUGGGGGGGCGUUGGAAGGUUUCGGAGGGUGUGGUUGGACGCCCGGCUUAUUAGUUGGUGGGGGGGGUAGUGGCCUACCAAGGCAUUGACGGGUGGUCGGCGUGGGAGGUGGAACAGCCACAAUGGGACUGAGGUACGGCCCAGAGUCCUACAGGAGGCAGCAGUGGGGAAUCUGGCACAAUGGGCGGAAGCCUGAUGCAGCGACGCCGCGUGCGGGAUGAAGGCCUUCGGGGUGUAAACCGCUGUCAGCUGAUACGAUGCUGGAGUGACGGUAACAGCAGAAGAAGCACCGGCUAACUACGUG
rnacentral:rRNA from 1 species